AUCAAAAUAACCCAUAAAACCCAACCCUAAAUCUCUCUCAACUCUCAAAGUCUACUGCCGCCCUCCCCUCCCCAUUCGGCCUCUACGUCACUCGUCUGGUGCGCCUCCCGCCGAUCGUGCUCCACGCUGUCAACGUCGUUUCUGCGUUCGGUUCCUGCUCUUCUCCGCCGCUUCCUCUGCUCCAGUCUUGCUGUCCGGUGCUGUUCCUCGCUGCGUUCCUCUACUCCACGCUGUCAACGGCGUUCUGCGUCCGGUUCCUGUGUCCGCUCGUCUGCUUGCUUCUUUGCUCUUCUCCGCCGCUUCAUCUGCUCCCGGGAACGCAGCUCCUGCACCAUCGGGUUCACCUGUUUUCUUGUUCGUUGGAGGAGUUUGGGUUCGUAAAAUCGGCUCUCAAACGCGCGAUCGGGUUGUUGCCGGAUAACGCGCUUGUUGGGUUUGUUUCGUUUGGGACGCAGGCGCAGGUUCAUGAAUUGGGAUUUUCAGAUAUGUCCAAGGUUUAUGUGUUUAGAGGCAACAAGGAGAUUUCCAAAGAUCAAAUUAUGGAGCAGUUGGGACUUGGCGUUUCGGGCAGGAGAGCCCCUGUUGGAUACCCACAGAAAGGAAUGCAAAAUGGGUUUCCAAUUCUUGGCAUUACCCGCUUCUUAUUGCCCGCAUCCGAGUGCGAAUAUACCCUCAACUCUCUUUUGGAUGAGUUGCAAACGGAUCAAUGGCAUAAGGAUGCGUUAAAGGUUGAAAUUGAUGAGCACAACCCUGAUAAUUACUUGGUUUCUUUCGUUUUCGAUGCUUUACUUGAUGGGAGCUUGGAAGGAGAGUACAGAAGAGGGAAACAGUUAUUCUUGAUCCAGAUUACAGGAUACCAGUUGUCUUGCUCGGUUUAGCUGGUGGAUUAACUUAUACAAAUAAUCUGGCACCAGCUGUACCUGUUGGUCUCCUUGGAUUGCUCCUUUUAUUUCAGCUGCACUUGAUUCGCAAAGGAGUUGGCCAAAGUUGUAGCAUUUACUUUCCUAGUUGACUAUACUUUCAUAUGGGAAUACUUUGAGAUUCAAUUGGACUUUGCCUUUUCCCUCUCAUUUUGGGUGCAUUCAAAUUUUAGGAAUGCAGAACAGAAAAGACACUUGUAAUUGACAAAAAAUUUGCAUGUAUUUUAUGGUUUUCUCAACUUGUUUAUUCUUCCAUAAUGUGAUUUCUUUUUUUAUUCCUAAAUACAGCAUUACAAUUUUCCAUGUUAUUACUGUGCUGCUCAUUGUCCUGUAAUAUUCACUCUCCCGGUGUAGUUAUGAACUUUAAUUUGAUAUUUGA